rnacentral:lncRNA from 1 species
UUUAUUAUCAGCCAAAGGUGUUUGGCCCAGUGGAAAGGGGCUAGGCUUGUAAGAUCAAGCCCCUUUAUUCCCUUUUCAUUCUUUUUCCUUUUAUUUGCCAUUUUAUUUUAUUUUCUUCAUUUUAUUUAUUUCUAUUCCAUUUCCAUUUCUUUUCUUUUCUUGAUUAUUCAUUUUAACCAAAUAUGUCAUCAAGUAUAUUUCACCAAAUAUUUUAUUUUUCUUUUAAUCAUUUUAUUUUUUAUCAUUUUAUUAAAC